rnacentral:lncRNA from 1 species
AGUAGCAAUGUGCCUUGAUUGAUUAGAUAAAGAUUUCUAGUAGGCAGCAAAAGACCAAAUCUCAGUUGUUUGCUUCUUGCCAUCACUGGUCCAGGUCUUCAGUUUCCGAAUCUCUUUCCCUUCCCCUGUGGUCUGUUGUUGCUAUGUGACUUUCGCUUAAUCCAAUAUUUUGCCUUUUUUCUAUAUCAAAAAACCUUUACAGUUAGCAGGGAUGUUCCUUACCAAGGAUUUUUAGCCCCAAAUCUCUCAUAUUCGCUAGUGUUUAAAAGGCUAAGAAUAGUGGGGCCCAGCCGAUGUGGUAGGUGAUAAAGAGGCAUCUUUUCUAGAGACACAUUGGACCAGAUGAGGAUCUGAAACGGCAGCCUUUACGUUCAUCUCCUGCUGGAACCUCUCGUAGUCCACCACCAUUUCUUGGCAUUGGAAUUCUACUGGAAAAAAAUACAAAAAGCAAAACAAAACCCUCAGCACUGUUAAAAGAGGCCAUUUAAGUAUCUUGUGCUUCUUCACUUACCCAUUAGCCAGGUUCUUAUUAGGUUUUGCUUGGGCUUCCCUGGCACUGAACCUUAGGCUUUGUAUGACAGUGAAGCAGCACUGGGAGUGGUUCAAGCACACUGGAAUAUAAAACAGUCAUGGCCUGAGAUGCAGGUGAUGCCAUUAGAGAACCAAAUCAUGGCAGGUAUUGCUGUAUCUCCUCUCAGAGUGACAGUCAUAAAUACUAUCAAACAAUAAAGGGAGAAUGGUGCUGUUUAAAGUCACAUCCCUGUAAAUUGCAGAAUUCAAAAGUGAUUAUCUCUUUGAUCUACUUGCCUCAUUUCCCUAUCUUCUCCCCCACGGUAUCCUAAACUUUAGACUUCCCACUGUUCUGAAAGGAGACAUUGCUUUAUGUCUCCCUUCGACUACAGCAAGCCAUCAUCCUCCAUUGCUCCCGGGGACUCAAGAGGAAUCUGUUUCUCUGCUGUCAACUUCCCGUCUGGCUCAGCAUAGGGUCACUUUGCCGUUAUGCAAAUGGAGAUAAAAGCAAUUCUGACUGUCCAGGAGCUAAUCUGACCGUUCUAUUGUGUGGAUGACCACAUAAAAAGGCAAUUUUAGUGUAUUAAUCAUAGAUUAUUAUAAACUAUAAACUUAAGGGCAAGGAGUUUAUUACAGUGUAUCUUUAUUAAAACAAAAGGGUGUAUAGUGUUCACAAACUGUGAAAAUAGUGUAAGAACUGUACAUUGUGAGCUCUGGUUAUUUUUCUCUUGUACCAUAGAAAAAUGUAUAAAAAUUAUCAAAAAGCUAAUGUGCAGGGAUAUUGCCUUAUUUGUCUGUAAAAAAUGGAGCUCAGUAACAUAACUGCUUCUUGGAGCUUUGGAAUAUUUUAUCCUGUAUUCUUGUUUGAAUUCCUCCUCUAUUUAAGAUAUAUACAUGGAAUCCAAGUGUUUAUGUGAUAGUUCUAUCCUUUUGCCUGCGGGUCAGUCGUAAUAAAUCUAGGAUGUGAUGAUGA